rnacentral:tRNA from 1 species
GGGGGUGUGGCUCGAUGAUAGGGUAUCUGCUUUGCAUGCAGAAGGCUGCAGGUUCUAACACCAGCAUCUCCA